ACUCCAGUGGGCAGCACAGCCAGGAAGAGCAAUUGGACAAGAUGAAGGGUUUCGGAGUGUUUCUUCUUUUUGUGUUGCUUAUAGUUGACCAUGGGAAGUGUUGGAGAAGAAGAAGAACUCUUGGCGACGUGUCUAUGACUGCGAGAAGAGACAGAGCAAAUGCUCGAAGGGAAGAAUCAAGGAGCACCCAUGAACAGGUAGAAGAUGAAUCGCUUGACUAAGAUCAAAACUUUGAGGAUCCCGAAUACUUUCAGAAUUCUGAAGGAAGGCGAAGUGAUCAAGUCUCAUCUUAUGAAAAUUGAACCACUGAUCCCUAUAAACAAAAUCUUGAUGACACGACGAAGCGAGCCUUCAACAGAAGUGAACUUAUAUCUUCUAUUAUAUUCAAUUUCAUAGCUUAGCCAAUUUUGUCCAUUUCUGUAUUCGGGUAGGCUUGACUCUCUAUAACCAUUUGUUGCAAAGAUUCAUUGGUUUUUUUUCUGAUAUUUUCUGCAAUAUGCAUAGAUCUGUUCCACCGAGAAUCAGGAUGCAAAAGGGCAAGUAAAUAAAAGGGUUUUAAAUGGACGAUCUUGGUUCUAUUGUUUUAUUUGAUUUGCUAUAUUCUGUUGGUUUUAAUAUGAAAAAUAGAAUGCAAGUUUCCAGUGUUCCAAGUAUCUUACAUUGUACCGGAAAUUGGCAUGGUAUUGUACAGCAAAAUUUGUUUUAUUUGCGGGCGAAUGCUGGCUGUGAUGUGAUUGGUUUAUAAAACCCGUUUAUAGUGCGCCAAGAAUUCAAGAGAUUGUCACCAUGGCAGGGCCCACGCCACGGAUUUCAAGGUGGAGGGGCCAAGUGCUAUUAAUCGAACUUGAAGCUUAGUGCUUCAAAACAGGGCCUCUUUGUAAAUAUUUUCAUUGCAGUUGGAACUAAUUUCCUAUGGGGGGGGGGGCUGCCCAAACUUUUCUUUCUCAUUCAAUAAACUGUUAUAAAGGAAACAUUCUACAGUUUGACAAUUAUUAGGGGGCUCCAGCCUCCCAGCCCCCCGGUUCCGACGGGCCUGAUUUUUGCUUACCAAAAAAGUGGGGGACAUGGCCCCUCCAUCCCACUCCCCCUGAAUGGUAUUCUAAUAUUCAGAGAAGACCUUCAAAUUCCGCUCAAUGUGUGUAAGAACCGCGUUUUAGCGUGGCAUUUCCCAAGGGCCUAGCUCAAAUGAAUGUCUCGUAGCAAAAAGCAGGUUUAUUGCACAGACCUACCUCCAUCAUAGUUAAUAGAAUAAUUCUUUAAACUAUGCUACCAUCCUUUGUCCUUUUGUCUCUGUAUGUUAGACAUAUAAAGGACAGCAUUUCACCAUAGAAUUUUACAAACCGCACUCUAGUUUGAAGCAAGAAAAGGCAAUUUAGGCAGGAUGAAGAGUUUUGUAAUGUUCCUGCUUCUCGCCAUGCUCAUCGUUGACCAUGGAGAGUGUUGGAGAAGAAGAAGAAGAAGUGGAACAGAAAUAGAAAGAUCCAAUGGCGAAGCACCUAUGACUUUGGAAAGGGACAGAGCAAAUGCUCGAAGGGAAGAAUCAGCCGAUGCACAUGAACAGGUAGAAGAUGAAUCGCUUGACGAAGAUCAAAACUUUGAGGAUCCCGAAUACUUUCAGAAUUCUGAAGGAAGGCGAAGUGAUAAAGUCUCAUCUUAUGAAAAUUGAACCACUGAUCCCUAUAAACAAAAUCUUGAUGACAUGACAAAGCGAGCCUUCAACAAAAGUGAACUUAUAUCUUCUAUUAUAUUCAAUUUCAUAGCUUAGCCAAUUUUAUCCAUUUCUGUAUUCGGGUAUGCUUGACUCUCUAUAACCAUUUGUUGCAAAGAUUCAUAGGUUUUUUUUCUGAUAUUUUCUGCAAUAUGCAUAGAUCUGUUCCACCGAGAAUCAGGAUGCAAAAGGGCAAGUAAAUAAAAGGGUUUUAAAUGGACGAUCUUGGUUCUAUUGUUUUAUUUGAUCUGUUAUAUUCUGUUGGUUUUAAUAUGAAAAAUAGAAUGCAAGUUUCCAGUUUUCCAAGUAUCUUACAUUGUACCGGAAAUUGGCAUGGCAUUGUACAGCAAAAUUUGUUUUAUUUGCGGGCGAAUGCUGGCUGUGAUGUGCUUGGUUUAUAAAACCCGUUUAUAGUGCGCCAAGAAUUCAAGAGAUUGUCACCAUGGCAGGGCCCACGCCACGGAUUUCAAGGUGGAGGGGCCAAGUGCUAUUAAUCGAACUUGAAGCUUAGUGCUUCAAAACAGGGCCUCUUUGUAAAUAUUUUCAUUGCAGUUGGAACUAAUUUCCUAUGGGGGGGGGGGCUGCCCAAACUUUUCUUUCUCAUUCAAUAAACUGUUAUAAAGGAAACAUUCUACAGUUUGACAAUUAUUAGGGGGCUCCAGCCUCCCAGCCCCCCGGUUCCGACGGGCCUGAUUUUUGCUUACCAAAAAAGUGGGGGACAUGGCCCCUCCAUCCCACUCCCCCUGAAUGGUAUUCUAAUAUUCAGAGAAGACCUUCAAAUUCCGCUCAAUGUGUGUAAGAAUAGCGUUUUAGCGUGGCAUUUCCCAAGGGCCUAGCUCAAAUGAAUGUCUCGUAGCAAAAAGCAGGUUUAUUGCACAGACCUACCUCCAUCAUAGUUAAUAGAAUAAUUCUUUUAACUAUGCUACCAUCCUUUGUCCUUUUGUCUCUGUAUGUUAGACAUAUAAAGGACAGCAUUUCACCAUAGAAUUUUACAAACCGCACUCUAGUUUGAAGCAAGAAAAGGCAAUUUAGGCAGGAUGAAGAGUUUUGUAAUGUUCCUGCUUCUCUCCAUGCUCAUCGUUGACCAUGGAGAGUGUUGGAGAAGAAGAAGAAGAAGUGGAACAGAAAUAGAAAGAUCCAAUGGCGAAGCACCUAUGACUUUGGAAAGGGACAGAGCAAAUGCUCGAAGGGAAGAAUCAGCCGAUGCACAUGAACAGGUAGACGAUGAAUCGCUUGACGAACAUCAAAACUUUGAGGAUCCCGAAUACUUUCAGGAUUCUGAAGAAAGCCGAAGUGAUCAAGUCUCAUCUUAUGAAAAUUAAAGCUUAUCCCUAUAAACAAAAUCUUGAUGACAUGAUGAAACGAGCCUUCAACAAAAGUGAACUUAUAUCUUCUAUUAUAUUCAAUUUCAUAGCUUAGCCAAUUUUGUCCAUUUCUGUAUUUGGGUAGGCUUUUCUAUUUAUAACCAAUUUUUGCAAAGACUCGUUGAUGUUUUUC